rnacentral:rRNA from 1 species
ACCUAAUAGAUACCCCGGUAGUCCACGCCCUAAACGAUGCGAACUGGAUGUUGGGUACAUUACGGUACUCAGUGUCGAGGCUAAACGCGUUAAGUUCGCCGCCUGGGGAGUACGGUCGCAAGACUGAAACUCAAAGGAAUUGACGGGGGCCCGCACAAGCGGUGGAGUAUGUGGUUUAAUUCGAUGCAACGCGAAGAACCUUACCUGGCCUUGACAUCUGUCGAAUCCUGCAGAGAUGCGGGAGUGCCGCAAGGAACGACAAGACAGGUGCUGCAUGGCUGUCGUCAGCUCGUGUCGUGAGAUGUUGGGUUAAGUCCCGCAACGAGCGCAACCCUUGUCCCUAGUUGCCAGCACGUAAUGGUGGGAACUCUAGGGAGACUGCCGGUGACAAACCGGAGGAAGGUGGGGUAUGACGUCAAGUCCUCAUGGCCCUUACGGCCAGGGCUACACACGUACUACAAUGGUCGGUACAGAGGGUUGCGAAGCCGCGAGGUGAAGCCAAUCCCAGAAAA